UAUACUCUCAUAAUUGGAUUCAACAAGGUCUAAUACCUUGAAAAUUAUUAAAAAUUGAGAGAGGUCAAUUGAUUUCUCAUUAUAAAAAUAUGUUUUUCAUCAAAAAGGGGGUUCAAGGCUUAAAUAUAAGAGAAUUCAAUUUAUAAAAACAAAUAUACAAAUAGAAGUAUUUUCAAAAAAAUGAAGGGUCAACUGACCCCUCAUUUAAAAUCAUGCAUCCGCCAAUGGAUUUCUCUAUUCAUGAACAAAUUAUCCUAAGAUGAAGGUCUCUAUUCUCAAACUUGAAGCACAACAGUUAUGUACCUCCACUAAAUGAAAA
rnacentral:misc_RNA from 1 species